rnacentral:rRNA from 1 species
AUUGAACGCUGGCGGCAUGCCUUACACAUGCAAGUCGAACGGUAACAGGUCUUCGGAUGCUGACGAGUGGCGAACGGGUGAGUAAUACAUCGGAACGUGCCCGAGAGUGGGGGAUAACGAGGCGAAAGCUUUGCUAAUACCGCAUACGAUCUCAGGAUGAAAGCAGGGGACCGCAAGGCCUUGCGCUCACGGAGCGGCCGAUGGCAGAUUAGGUAGUUGGUGGGAUAAAAGCUUACCAAGCCGACGAUCUGUAGCUGGUCUGAGAGGACGACCAGCCGCGCUUGGAGUGGGACAGGGCCCAGACUCCUACGGGAGGCAGCAGUGGGGAAUUUUGGACAAUGGGCGCAAGCCUGAUCCAGCCAUGCCGCGUGCAGGAUGAAGGCCUUCGGGUUGUAAACUGCUUUUGUACGGAACGAAAAGACUCUGGUUAAUACCUGGGGUCCAUGACGGUACCGUAAGAAUAAGCACCGGCUAACUACGUGCCAGCCGCCGCAGUAAAAC